rnacentral:rRNA from 1 species
GAUGAACGCUGGCGGCGUGCCUAAUACAUGCAAGUCGAGCGAACGGACGAGAAGCUUGCUUUUCUGAUGUUAGCGGCGGACGGGUGAGUAACACGUGGAUAACCUACCUAUAAGACUGGGAUAACUUCGGGAAACCGGAGCUAAUACCGGAUAAUAUUUUGAACCGCAUGGUUCAAAAGUGAAAGACGGUCUUGCUGUCACUUAUAGAUGGAUCCGCGCUGCAUUAGCUAGUUGGUAAGGUAACGGCUUACCAAGGCAACGAUGCAUAGCCGACCUGAGAGGGUGAUCGGCCACACUGGAACUGAGACACGGUCCAGACUCCUACGGGAGGCAGCAGUAGGGAAUCUUCCGCAAUGGGCGAAAGCCUGACGGAGCAACGCCGCGUGAGUGGUGAAGGUCUUCGGAUCGUAAAACUCUGUUAUUAGGGAAGAACAUAUGUGUAAGUAACUGUGCACAUCUUGACGGUACCUAAUCAGAAAGCCACGGCUAACUACGUGCCAGCAGCCGCGGUAAUACGUAGGUGGCAAGCGUUAUCCGGAAUUAUUGGGCGUAAAGCGCGCGUAGGCGGUUUUUUAAGUCUGAUGUGAAAGCCCACGGCUCAACCGUGGAGGGUCAUUGGAAACUGGAAAACUUGAGUGCAGAAGAGGAAAGUGGAAUUCCAUGUGUAGCGGUGAAAUGCGCAGAGAUGUGGAGGAACACCAGUGGCGAAGGCGACUUUCUGGUCUGUAACUGACGCUGAUGUGCGAAAGCGUGGGGAUCAAACAGGAUUAGAUACCCUGGUAGUCCACGCCGUAAACGAUGAGUGCUAAGUGUUAGGGGGUUUCCGCCCCUUAGUGCUGCAGCUAACGCAUUAAGCACUCCGCCUGGGGAGUACGACCGCAAGGUUGAAACUCAAAGGAAUUGACGGGGGCCCGCACAAGCGGUGGAGCAUGUGGUUUAAUUCGAAGCAACGCGAAGAACCUUACCAAAUCUUGACAUCCUUUGACAACUCUAGAGAUAGAGCCUUCCCCUUCGGGGGACAAAGUGACAGGUGGUGCAUGGUUGUCGUCAGCUCGUGUCGUGAGAUGUUGGGUUAAGUCCCGCAACGAGCGCAACCCUUAAGCUUAGUUGCCAUCAUUAAGUUGGGCACUCUAAGUUGACUGCCGGUGACAAACCGGAGGAAGGUGGGGAUGACGUCAAAUCAUCAUGCCCCUUAUGAUUUGGGCUACACACGUGCUACAAUGGACAAUACAAAGGGCAGCGAAACCGCGAGGUCAAGCAAAUCCCAUAAAGUUGUUCUCAGUUCGGAUUGUAGUCUGCAACUCGACUACAUGAAGCUGGAAUCGCUAGUAAUCGUAGAUCAGCAUGCUACGGUGAAUACGUUCCCGGGUCU